rnacentral:rRNA from 3 species
CCUUUAAGGGUCCUGAAGGAACGUUGAAGACGACGACGUUGAUAGGUCGGGUGUGUAAGCGCAGCGAUGCGUUGAGCUAACCGAUACUAAUGAACCGUGAGGCUUAACCUU